ACCGUUUUCUUCUCCAGUAAAAGGCUUACACAACACCACCGCCAUACAUUUCUCAAUGGACUUCUCCCUUUUUGCUUCCAUUUACAUCAUUGCUUCUUCUUCUUCUUGAAUGUAAAACAGGCAUUCGCCACCGACUCCAUUACACGGCCUUUGACUCCUUCACCACAUGCGUGCUAUUUAUCUGCUUUCUUCUCAAUUUUCUCAUGUUUUCUACAAAACUCCUCCAUCGCUAUCAUCUAUCGAUUGAAUAGUCUCGAAGCUGCUACUGUUAUUUCCAGUUCCACUUAUAGGAUUCCCUGCUUUUCAUCGACCCUUCAACUCCACUUCUUGCCGGAUUUAAACCAUAGAUGUUCCAGGUAAAGAACACAGAUUUAGAGAGCUCUAGAGUGAUGGUUGCAUUCACGUUGUUGAUUACGUUCCUACAUUCGUUAGGGUUCACCAUCUAAUCUCAGGUAUGUACUUCAGGCGGGUGUUUUUGAUAACAGUUCGGAUUGAUGUCCACUUCCAUUUGGGUAUAAUCACGACGAAUCUGAGCCCCACUUUUUAACUUUCGUUAUCUCAUUUAUAAUUUCUUUUUCGUUUUUGUUUUUCCACAAUUUCCAAGACCCAUGUAUGCCUCUUGUCGGCCACCAUACCAAACCAGUAGGGGAAAAACAACAUUCUUGCCACCAGGUUUUCAGUACUAGCUCUUCCGUUGAUCGAGGUCAAAUAUGAAACAUCAAUCCGACAUGAAUACUUUAUCGAGUCUCCAACCUCUGACGAUGAUAUGUCUCCGAUUGUGUUGGUGCAUGGAAUUUUUGUCAUGGAAAAAGGGAGGACUAAACAUUGAGGAUUUAAUUGAAACUGCAAUACCUCUUCAUGUCUAUCAAAACAAAAAGGAACUAUAGUCUAUAGUUGCUUCGGUACACAAGAAUAUCGGUUAACAGGGGAAAAAAGGUAAUCAAUUGGCCUUAAAAAAAAUCCUUUGAGAUUAUAAAAUUCUUGCGAGAUCGAUUUAAUGGCGGGGCUGAGCCGCUGAGGGAGUCUGGUACUUUAAUCUUUGAAUAUAGUGCUCUAUUAUUUUGAUCUUCGAUACUUUGCUUAUUCAUUGCCCUAUUUUGGUACCUUAUAGGUUUAUUCACAACGCAAAAGAAAUGCAACACCGAGACGACAGGGAAUGAUAAAGCAGUAAUUCCUCGUUAUUUUAUUUUAUAAGGAUAAGGGCGAAAUAGUAAUUUCACCCUACAUAGAAAAAAGUGGGAGGGGUCUGUUUCAGAUCUAACGUACAGAUUCAACUUUUUUUAAAAGGUUUUGUUAGUAAUGUUUCGUCUGAAAGACACUAGAGACAUUUCUGGGUUCACAUCGUAUGUCACGGUUUCGGUUUUUGGAAAAUUUUCCGAAGCAGUUGACUCAAUUAGACAGUGACCACACAAGGACUAUUAUUUUUUUUCUUUUCUCCUUUUCUAACUUCUAAUACUUACAAAAUAACUUCCUGAUAUCUCCUCAUAUAAUUAUUUAGUCUUUGGUGUCCUUUUCUUACAACAGGCAAUGAAUGCGAACCAAACCAGCAUGCUGAUUCUACAAGAAACUUGCAUAGAUGCUGUUGGAUGAAGUAAACUUUCAAAAUAUGAUUUUUGGACGAAUUAAGGACUACAUCGAAGUAAAUAAGAACACAUUAUUGAUACUUCUCUAAUCUGUUUACCGGCUUACAGAAACAACACAAGUGGUACAAACAUAAAAGAUAAUCUGAUGGUCAUGUUUUUUUUAAGGUACGACUCCCUUAACCAACCAAACACAAAUUAGACUUCAUUAAUCGGCUUGAUGUGAAAUGUUAUCCGGUUAUGUUAUAGAAUGUCAGGAACAUGUUCCGAAGACUCACUUCAAACACAAGGUUCGUUCAAAGUUUUUUUUGUUAGUUUUUCCGUUUUUUUUUCAAUACCUAUUGAAAUUAAUUAGCAUCUUUUGAUUGUGUUUUUGACCAUCUAAUGACAGAAAAAUUAGCCAUGCAAGAUUGAUUAUGGAAUUGAUUUUGAUCCUAUAUUUAUUUUAGCGUUAGUAAGUUGAUAUAAAUUACCUACAUUUUCUAUUAUUUCAAUGAUCUCUGAUAAAUUGUUUUCAUAGUUACAAGGUUUUAAUUGGGAAAGUUGAGUUUUAAGAAUCCAGCGAUUGCAUUGUUAAGAAAUGAUUUUCUUGAUUUCAUUGUUUCAGUAGUACAUGGACUUAUCAAAUGGGAUAAAUGAAUCUUUCAAGAAAUCCUCUCAAGCUUUGACAAAACUACAUUCCAGAUAUGCCACCAUCUCUUUGUUAUUUCUCUACAUUUUUUUAAUAGCUUUUUGGUUCUUUGUUUUUUUUUUUUUGCUUUUAGCCGCUUAGUAUGUAUUCCAUUUACUAAUUUCAUUCCCUGAUUGUACUUAUCGGAAUCAGUCAAUAACGUUGUUGAACUC